rnacentral:rRNA from 1 species
UACGAAGGGGCUAGCGUUGUUCGGAAUUACUGGGCGUAAAGCGCGUGUAGGCGGGUCUUUAAGUCAGGGGUGAAAUGCCAAGGCUCAACCUUGGAACUGCCUUUGAUACUGGAGAUCUUGAGUCCGGGAGAGGUGAGUGGAACUGCGAGUGUAGAGGUGAAAUUCGUAGAUAUUCGCAAGAACACCAGUGGCGAAGGCGGCUCACUGGCCCGGAACUGACGCUGAGACGCGAAAGCGUGGGGAGCAAACAGG